rnacentral:rRNA from 1 species
UACGUAGGGAGCGGAGCGUUGUCCGAAGUUACGUGGGCGUGAAAGCGCGCGUAGGCGGGUUUGAAAGUCGGAGGUGAAAUGCUGGGGCUCAACUCCAUGCAGUGCCUCCGAUACUUCAAGUCUUGAGUGCGGUAGGGAGAAGGUGGAAUGGCGUGGUGGUAAGCGGUGGAAUGCGUAGAGAAUCCGGAAGAACACCGGUGGCGAAGGCGGCCUGCUGGGCAGUUGCUGACACUGAGGCGCGACAGCGUGGGGAGCAAACAGG